GUCAAUGUUAGGGUGCUGGUGUUAGGGUGCUGUGUGAGUGUUAGGGUGCUGUGUGAGUGCUACGGUGCUGUGUGUGUGUUAGGGUGCUGUGUGUGUGUUAGGGUGCUGUGUGAGUGCUACGGUGCUGUGUGUGUGUUAGGGUGAUGUGUCAAUGUUAGGGUGCUGGUGUUAGGGUGCUGUGUGUGUGUUGGGGUGCUGUGUGUGUGUUGGGGUGCUGGUGUUAGGGUGCUGUGUGAGUGCUAUGGUGCUGUGUGUGUGUUAGGGUGCUGUGUCAAUAUUAGGGUGCUGGUGUUAGGGUGCUGUGUGAGUGUUAGGGUGCUGUGUGUAUGUUAGGGUGCUGUGUCAAUGUUAGGGUGCUGGUGUUAGGGUGCU